ACCGACGGGAGCUUGCUCCCUUAGGUCAGCGGCGGACGGGUGAGUAACACGUGGGUAACCUGCCUGUAAGACUGGGAUAACUCCGGGAAACCGGGGCUAAUACCGGAUGCUUGAUUGAACCGCAUGGUUCAAUCAUAAAAGGUGGCUUUUAGCUACCACUUACAGAUGGACCCGCGGCGCAUUAGCUAGUUGGUGAGGUAACGGCUCACCAAGGCGACGAUGCGUAGCCGACCUGAGAGGGUGAUCGGCCACACUGGGAUUGAGACACGGCCCAGACUCC
rnacentral:rRNA from 1 species